AUUGAACGCUAGCGGGAUGCUUUACACAUGCAAGUCGAACGGCAGCGCGGACUUCGGUCUGGCGGCGAGUGGCGAACGGGUGAGUAAUGUAUCGGAACGUGCCCAGUAGCGGGGGAUAACUACGCGAAAGCGUAGCUAAUACCGCAUACGCCCUACGGGGGAAAGCAGGGGAUCGUAAGACCUUGCACUAUUGGAGCGGCGGAUAUCGGAUUAGCUAGUUGGUGAGGUAACGGCUCACCAAGGCGACGAUCCGUAGCUGGUUUGAGAGGACGACCAGCCACACUGGGACUGAGACACGGCCCAGACUCCUACGGGAGGCAGCAGUGGGGAAUGUUGGACAAUGGGGGCAACCCUGAUCCAGCCAUCCCGCGUGUGUGAUGAAGGCCUUCGGGUUGUAAAGCACUUUUGGCAGGAAAGAAACGUCGCGGGCUAAUACCCCGUGGAACUGACGGUACCUGCAGAAUAAGCACCGGCUAACUACGUG
rnacentral:rRNA from 1 species